rnacentral:rRNA from 1 species
UACGAAGGGGGCUAGCGUUGCUCGGAAUCACUGGGCGUAAGGGUGCGUAGGCGGGGCUUUAAGUCAGGGGUGAAAUCCUGGAGCUCAACUCCAGAACUGCCUUUGAUACUGAAGAUCUUGAGUUCGGGAGAGGUGAGUGGAACUGCGAGUGUAGAGGUGAAAUUCGUAGAUAUUCGCAAGAACACCAGUGGCGAAGGCGGCUCACUGGCCCGAUACUGACGCUGAGGCACGAAAGCGUGGGGAGCAAACAGG